UACGGGGGGGGCAAGCGUUGUUCGGAAUUACUGGGCGUAAAGGGCUCGUAGGCGGCCAACUAAGUCCGACGUGAAAUCCCCAGGCUUAACCUGGGAACUGCGUCGGAUACUGGAUGGCUUGAAUUCGGGAGAGGGAUGCAGAAUUCCAGGUGUAGCGGUGAAAUGCGUAGAUAUCUGGAGGAAUACCGGUGGCGAAGGCGGCCAUCUGGACCAGCACUGACACUGAGGCACGAAAGCGUGGGGAGCAAACAGG
rnacentral:rRNA from 1 species